GUGUACACCGCCAACCUACGAUUUUCUGUUCCGGUCAAGACUCUUAGCAGAACGAUAGAUUAAAUCUGGCCUGCUGCCAAACUUGGUAGAAAACUGAAAGCAUCAAAUGCGGAACAGUUGCAGUAAGCGAAAAUAAAUAAUACCUAAUCAUAGUUAAUGUUGCUAAAAUCAUCUAUAAUAAUGUAUUUAAUAACUUAGAUAAUUAAUGACGAAAUAGUUGAAUGCCUACGCAUAUAUUUUGAACAACAAUUUUCAAUUCCUAUUAUUAAAAGUUCGGUUUCACCCGUAGGAGGCAUUAUUUAACUUUUAUAAAUAGAUGGAUAUUACCAAAGUAUCAUUGUAAGCACGACUGCGUAAAAUCAACGUUACUUUCUUAUCCUUAUGCACAUUGUUAACAAGCCAUUUUGCCGUCCAUUACCUGAAAUGACUAAAAAAUCAAAAUCAAAAUCAAAAACAGCUUUAUUCAAAUAGGCUCCAAGAGCACUUUCGAAUCGACAUUUUACAAAUUAAAACAUUAAAAACAAAUUAUUAUUUUCGUAAAAGUGAAGCUACCACCGAUUCGAAAUGUAGAUUCUGCAGAGAAGAAUCGACAAGAAACUCCGCAGUUACUCUUUUGAAAAAUAAUAUAUAAACUGUGUUUUAGUACAAAAUUAGUAACAUGUUGCAUGAAAUACAGCGUCACUAAGUCCACACAUCUUUAUCAACUAUGUAAGAAAACCCAAUAAUCCGCCGACCUGCAGUGGACCAUCGUGACUUUUCCUACACGAAAGUCUCCUACAUGAUAAGUAUCUGAGACUUCACUCUCAGCAUAGUUCUCAACGUCAUUAUCAGCGUCACUGCGUUAUUGUUUCACAAGAUUACGCUUCUCAUUUUUUUUUUUGUAUCGCGCGCCCUCUGUCGUUUCUCAGAGUAAACUUUAAAAAAAAAAACCUAUAAAAUAGGUAACGUUUAUUUAUGCAGUCCUGCAUGCAAGUCGGGCAUGUAAGCAAU
rnacentral:misc_RNA from 1 species